rnacentral:lncRNA from 1 species
UCUCUUUCUGUCUACCACGUAAGGACACAGUAAGCCAGGAAGGCAGUUCUCACCAGGACCCCAUUAUCCUGCCACUUUGAUCUCAGACUUCCAGCCUCCAGAAUUGAAUUGGCAGGGGGGCACUAAUACAUCUAAUAAUGAGAGUUUAUUGAGCCAAGUGCUUAAGUACUUUCCAGAUGCUAUUCUAAUCCUGAGAAAGAUUUUGCAAGAUCCAAUCCCUGGAACAGGACGGGGACUGUCGUCUUGCAGGUCCAGCACUCCCAAUCAGCGUCAGAGCUUAUUGCUUACUACAAAAUUGUAGCCUCGCCUAAAACCGCCAAAUCCUGGCAGGGGGAACACCAUGCCUGUCGAAAAUGCUUUCAUCUAAACAUUCUUGCACUGAAAGGUUGAGUGUUUCCUAGAGAGGGCUCCAA